rnacentral:rRNA from 1 species
CCAGACUCCUACGGGAGGCAGCAGUGGGGGAUAUUGCACAAUGGGGGCAACCCUGAUGCAGCGACGCCGCGUGAGCGAUGGAGUACUUCGGUAUGUAAAGCUCUGUCAGCAGGGAAGAGAAUGACGGUACCUGACCAAGAAGCCCCGGCUAAAUACGUGCCAGCAGCCGCGGUAAUACGUAUGGGGCAAGCGUUAUCCGGAUUUACUGGGUGUAAAGGGAGCGUAGGCGGCAGGGCAAGUCAGAUGUGAAAUCCCAAGGCUCAACCUUGGAACUGCAUUUGAAACUGUUGGUCUUGAGUAUCGGAGAGGCAGGCGGAAUUCCUAGUGUAGCGGUGAAAUGCGUAGAUAUUAGGAGGAACACCAGUGGCGAAGGCGGCCUGCUGGACGACAACUGACGGUGAGGCGCGAAAGCGUGGGGAGCAAACAGGAUUAGAUACCCGAGUACU